AUGGUACACCUCCAAUUCAUCCUGGACCGUAUCCGGGCGCGGCUAGCUGGAUGGAAGGGAAAGCUGAUGACCAUCACAGGCUGUAGGGUGCUCGUCCGAGCAGUUUUAAGCUUGCUGCCUACCUACACCCUGACUGCCCUAAGGGUACUGAAGAAAUUCUUCAAAGACAUCAACAAAUCGCAGCGGCGUUUUCUCUGGGCGCAAGAAGAAGAGCUGACAGGGGGAAAAUGCAAGGUGGCCUGGGCCAAGGUGUGCUCAUCAAUCAAGCUUGGAGGACUAGGGAUCAUGGACCUGGAGCGCUUUAGCCGGGCCUUGAGGAUCCGUUGGCUGUGGAACUCCUGGAAGCACCCUGACAGGUCAUGGAUCGGCACAACACUGCCUUGUGACCGCAUUGAUCAGGCCCUCUUCAGUGCAGCAACCACGGUGCAGUUGGAAGAUGGUCAAACAACAUGUUUGUGGACAUGUUCCUAG
rnacentral:rRNA from 1 species